rnacentral:rRNA from 1 species
UACAGAGGUCUCAAGCGUUGUUCGGAUUCAUUGGGCGUAAAGGGUGCGUAGGCGGCGCGGUAAGUCGGGUGUGAAAUCUUGGAGCUUAACUCCGAAACUGCAUUCGAUACUACCGUGCUUGAGGACUGGAGAGGAGACUGGAAUUUACGGUGUAGCGGUGAAAUUCGUAGAUAUUCGCAAGAACACCAGUGGCGAAGGCGGCUCACUGGCCCGGUACUGACGCUGAGGUGCGAAAGCGUGGGGAGCAAACAGG